rnacentral:rRNA from 1 species
CCUACGGGAGGCAGCAGUGAGGAAUAUUGGUCAAUGGACGCAAGUCUGAACCAGCCAUGCCGCGUGCAGGAAGACGGCUCUAUGAGUUGUAAACUGCUUUUGUACGAGGGUAAACGCAGAUACGCGUAUCUGUCUGAAAGUAUCGUACGAAUAAGGAUCGGCUAACUCCGUGCCAGCAGCCGCGGUAAUACGGAGGAUUCAAGCGUUAUCCGGAUUUAUUGGGUUUAAAGGGUGCGUAGGCGGUCGGAUAAGUUAGAGGUGAAAUCCCGAGGCUCAACUUCGGAAUUGCCUCUGAUACUGUUCGGCGAGAGAGUAGUUGCGGUAGGCGGAAUGUAUGGUGUAGCGGUGAAAUGCUUAGAGAUCAUACAGAACACCGAUUGCGAAGGCAGCUUACCAAGCUACGUCUGACGUUGAGGCACGAAAGCGUGGGGAGCAAACAGGAUUAGAUACCCUAGUAGUC